AAGAAGAAUUAGGCUGUCGGUUUUAUAAAAGGCUCCGUUUUAGGGUAUAAAUGGCAUAAAUGUUACAAUGACAACUACAAAAAGCUAGUCAUUAUGUUUUGUCAGAGGAAGCAUUAUUGAUGGCCAAACGAAAUACUUAAUUGAAGCUUUGAAAGAACAGGAAACAUCAGCUUUCUUUGUAUCUGCUGGAAGCUGGACACAACUAUUGUGCCGUCAAGCGUGAGUGGUUCGAUCAGAAAUUGAAUUCAGCGAGGGUCAUUUAGGAGCAGAACGUGGCAGCGGGCCUUCCAGUUAUCACUCAUAAUGGGAGCAGGGAGAGGGCUCCGUCUGUCUUUCGACCCCGCUCGUGAGAUCCAUGUUGACGGGUCGAUGCGGCUAAGAGCUGUUCUGACUGUGGCUAAUAACGCUGAUAAUGAAGGUUUGUGCUCUCAGGUAAAACUGAUAAGAACCUUGAAUUUAUUGAACCACAUUUGAGAUGUCAGCUGUUCCAGUAACUCCGGGAUGUUUUAUCAAAACUGAAGAACAGGAAGGCGUCAGAUAUUAAUGGAGUUGGUCUAACACGAAAUUCUUCAAUAAUAUCUUCUUUUAUUUUCUGACUUGCAGUAGUUUUUGUUUAUCAGUGAUGAAUGAUCCACAUUACAGCAGGAUGAAGGCAUAGCACUAAUUAUUAAAAGACGACACACGGUCUGCUUUUUUAUUGUUUUGCUUACUUCUCAUGAGCUCAGACUCUAAGGUGAAAGAAUCUGACAUACAUUGGUGGCCAGUUACAUUCAAUAAUUAUAAGGAACUUGUCAUAGGAAUUACUAUUCCUAAGAUUAAACCAGAUCAAUCCAUCUGUGGCAAGUUGUUAAUUUAUUCGAAUCGACCUACACCAUUAUAAAAUCGGUCCAAAAUCAAAAAUAAAAACACUAAUCAAUUAUAUCAAUACUGGUAAAUACCUUUUGCUUUUAGUCAUGGUAGGAUUUUUUUACCCUAAUGUAAAAACGACCAAGUGCAUCACGGCAGGCAACACACCUGAUGGCAGCAAAAAAAUGUUAUAGCCAUCAUUCCAGUGAACUUAGCAAAGACAUGUGACCAACCUAGAACGUGUGCUAGAACGUUCUAAGAAUGUUCCCUUUAGAUUAUUUGGAUGUGGAAAACAACAGUGGGCUGAACUUUAGGAAACUAAAAUGUAAAUGGAUUUGCUAUUAAUACAGCCUUCCCAUUUCUGUUCCUGUCCAAUUUCUCUUUUUUCUUCUGUUUUCUCUUUCAACAACUCGACCACCUGAGGGAUGGAACAGCUGGAGUGGAUCAGCUGAUUGAAGGGCUGUCACCUGGACAGCUGAUUGCCAGGAGAAGCUAACAUGGAUAAAAAAGAAAAAAGGUACGCUGGAGGAAGGGCUAAAGCUGACUAGAUAAAAAAAAUAAACUUGUGAACCUUUACCAGUGGUCCUUCACUGGGUUUUGUCA